rnacentral:rRNA from 1 species
CCUACGGGAGGCAGCAGUGGGGAAUUUUGCGCAAUGGGGGCAACCCUGACGCAGCAACGCCGCGUGAGUGAUGAAGGCCUUCGGGUCGUAAAGCUCUGUCAGAGGGGAAGAAAUGCAGGUGGUGAACAACCAUUCUGUUUGACGGUACCCUCAAAGGAAGCACCGGCUAACUCCGUGCCAGCAGCCGCGGUAAUACGGAGGGUGCGAGCGUUGUUCGGAAUUAUUGGGCGUAAAGCGCGUGUAAGCGGUUUGUUAAGUCUGAUGUGAAAGCCCCGGGCUCAACCGGGGAAGUGCAUUGGAUACUGGCAGACUUGAGUACGGGAGAGGAGAGUGGAAUUCCCAGUGUAGGAGUGAAAUCCGUAGAUAUCGGGAAGAAUACCGGUGGCGAAGGCGACCAUCUGGCCCGUUACUGACGCUCAGACGCGAAAGCGUGGGGAGCAAACAGGAUUAGAUACCCCUGUAGU